rnacentral:rRNA from 1 species
UACGUAGGGGGCAAGCGUUGUCCGGAAUCAUUGGGCGUAAAGCGCGUGUAGGCGGCUUAGUAAGUCCGCUCUGAAAGCCCGGGGCUCAACCCCGGGAGGCGGGUGGAUACUGUCAAGCUCGAGUCCGGAAGAGGCGAGUGGAAUUCCUGGUGUAGCGGUGAAAUGCGCAGAUAUCAGGAGGAACACCAAUGGCGAAGGCAGCUCGCUGGGACGUGACUGACGCUGAGACGCGAAAGCGUGGGGAGCGAACAGG